AACCAUAGAAACCUGCGGAGUACCUGCGGAGGGAUCAUUACAGAGUUGCAAAACUCCCUAAACCAUUGUGAACGUUACCUAAACCGUUGCCUCGGCGGGCGGCCCGGGUCCUUCCCGGCGCCCAUCGGCCCUCGCGGGCGCCCGCCGGAGGUAAACCAAACUAUUGCAUUGUAUGGCCUCUCUGAGUCUUCUGUACUGAAUAAGUCAAAACUUUCAACAAUGGAUCUCAGAUCGGAAGAG
rnacentral:misc_RNA from 1 species